GAUUCUUACCAUCUGAUAUGCUUUCGCAUAUGCAUCUGGGACCUGCCCCCAACCGACGCCCUUCCAAAUGAGCCAUUUUUUUCAAAACUCUUGCAUGUGAUUGGAUAAAGAAUCUGUCCGUCAUUUUGACUGACACGCCAUUUCAGCCACUCCCGUUGACUCAAUCCGUGACGUAGUUCACAGCGACACCACGCAGGAGGCAAGACUUUUCAUCACAACAAACAUGGCGGCGGCUGGAAGUAAACGGAGGAAACUUUCUAUAAACGAACAUUGCCAUAUGUGCAGGGGAUAUCUAAGGACAAAUGGUAAUAUCUGCAACCGCCCAUGGAUAUUUGAAGAACUUCCCUACGGGAAAGGGUAAACCAGCGCCCAGCUGAACUUGAUCGAAACUUGUGAAACUUCUCCGAAAAAUCCUGUCGCAUGCCUGAAAUGCCUGCUGUAAUUUAACCCAGCGUUCUCAAGGUACGUACGAUGCAGAAAUGCAAAGCAGGGCCAAACAUGCUGCAUUCAAUGGGUACGAAGACGGUGUGAGGAACAACAUAACAGCUCUCUUCCUGGUGGCAGCCAUGGAGCACCUAGGGGCUUCAUUAAGUGUCAGAUAUCCCUGACGGCUUCAUACCUGACCACAUAACCAUGGGCUCUGAAGAGGGGAAAAAAGGAGCAGGCUACAUCCGGUAGUGGCCCGGGUGGUCAACAAAUGCCAUUUUCCACAUGCAGUCCAGGAGGGAGACGUAUAACUAUACUGUAGAUUUGAUAUUUUUACAAGGCCUUUAGCCAGUGUGCCCACAGCGCACUGCUCGUAAUUCUGCAGGUAAAUUUCACUCUUUCGCAUCGCUUAGCCCACAGCACCUUAACAACUUGAAGUCAUCAAUCUGAAGUCAUUUUUAGAACAUAGUUGUCCCGAUCUCACUGAAACAAACAGCAGAUUGGACCAGCAUGUCUAUUGGACUCCUGCAGAAAAUCAUGGUGAACAGACAGACAAAUGCACACUGGAGCACAUUAUGUUGCUAGUCACACAGAGGAUAUUUUCAGAGAGGCUGAGUUGUUUUCACCC